rnacentral:rRNA from 1 species
UCCUGGGGAGUACGACCGCAAGGUUGAAACUCAAAGGAAUUGACGGGGGCCCGCACAAGCGGUGGAGCAUGUGUUUUAAUUCGAAGCAACGCGAAGAACCUUACCAGGUCUUGACAUCCUUUGACCACUCUAGAGAUAGAGCUUUCCCUUCGGGGACAAAGUGACAGGUGGUGCAUGGUUGUCGUCAGCUCGUGUCGUGAGAUGUUGGGUUAAGUCCCGCAACGAGCGCAACCCUUAUUGUUAGUUGCCAUCAUUAAGUUGGGCACUCUAGCGAGACUGCCGGUGACAAACCGGAGGAAGGUGGGGAUGACGUCAAAUCAUCAUGCCCCUUAUGACCUGGGCUACACACGUGCUACAAUGGACAGUACAAUGAGCAGCGACACGGCGACGUGAAGCGAAUCUCAUAAAGCUGUUCUCAGUUCGGAUUGUAGGCUGCAACUCGCCUACAUGAAGCCGGAAUCGCUAGUAAUCGCGGAUCAGCACGCCGCGGUGAAUACGUUCCCGGGCCUUGUACACACCGCCCGUCACACCACGAAAGUUUGUAACACCCGAAGUCGGUGAGGUAACCGCAAGGAGCCAACCGCCUAAGGUGGGAUAGAUGAUUGGGGUGAAGUCGUAACAAGGUAACCAAGGGCGAAUUCUG